rnacentral:rRNA from 2 species
AAAUUGAAGAGUUUGAUCAUGGCUCAGAUUGAACGCUGGCGGCAGGCCUAACACAUGCAAGUCGAGCGGUAGCACAGAGAGCUUGCUCUCGGGUGACGAGCGGCGGACGGGUGAGUAAUGUCUGGGAAACUGCCUGAUGGAGGGGGAUAACUACUGGAAACGGUAGCUAAUACCGCAUAACGUCGCAAGACCAAAGUGGGGGACCUUCGGGCCUCAUGCCAUCAGAUGUGCCCAGAUGGGAUUAGCUGGUAGGUGGGGUAACGGCUCACCUAGGCGACGAUCCCUAGCUGGUCUGAGAGGAUGACCAGCCACACUGGAACUGAGACACGGUCCAGACUCCUACGGGAGGCAGCAGUGGGGAAUAUUGCACAAUGGGCGCAAGCCUGAUGCAGCCAUGCCGCGUGUGUGAAGAAGGCCUUCGGGUUGUAAAGCACUUUCAGCGGGGAGGAAGGCGGUGAGGUUAAUAACCUCACCGAUUGACGUUACCCGCAGAAGAAGCACCGGCUAACUCCGUGCCAGCAGCCGCGGUAAUACGGAGGGUGCAAGCGUUAAUCGGAAUUACUGGGCGUAAAGCGCACGCAGGCGGUCUGUCAAGUCGGAUGUGAAAUCCCCGGGCUCAACCUGGGAACUGCAUUCGAAACUGGCAGGCUAGAGUCUUGUAGAGGGGGGUAGAAUUCCAGGUGUAGCGGUGAAAUGCGUAGAGAUCUGGAGGAAUACCGGUGGCGAAGGCGGCCCCCUGGACAAAGACUGACGCUCAGGUGCGAAAGCGUGGGGAGCAAACAGGAUUAGAUACCCUGGUAGUCCACGCUGUAAACGAUGUCGAUUUGGAGGUUGUGCCCUUGAGGCGUGGCUUCCGGAGCUAACGCGUUAAAUCGACCGCCUGGGGAGUACGGCCGCAAGGUUAAAACUCAAAUGAAUUGACGGGGGCCCGCACAAGCGGUGGAGCAUGUGGUUUAAUUCGAUGCAACGCGAAGAACCUUACCUGGUCUUGACAUCCACAGAACUUUCCAGAGAUGGAUUGGUGCCUUCGGGAACUGUGAGACAGGUGCUGCAUGGCUGUCGUCAGCUCGUGUUGUGAAAUGUUGGGUUAAGUCCCGCAACGAGCGCAACCCUUAUCCUUUGUUGCCAGCGGUUAGGCCGGGAACUCAAAGGAGACUGCCAGUGAUAAACUGGAGGAAGGUGGGGAUGACGUCAAGUCAUCAUGGCCCUUACGACCAGGGCUACACACGUGCUACAAUGGCAUAUACAAAGAGAAGCGACCUCGCGAGAGCAAGCGGACCUCAUAAAGUAUGUCGUAGUCCGGAUUGGAGUCUGCAACUCGACUCCAUGAAGUCGGAAUCGCUAGUAAUCGUAGAUCAGAAUGCUACGGUGAAUACGUUCCCGGGCCUUGUACACACCGCCCGUCACACCAUGGGAGUGGGUUGCAAAAGAAGUAGGUAGCUUAACCUUCGGGAGGGCGCUUACCACUUUGUGAUUCAUGACUGGGGUGAAGUCGUAACAAGGUAACCGUAGGGGAACCUGCGGUUGGAUCACCUCCUUA